UUGCUUUCACAGCAGGUAUAGUAAAAUCCGAACAGUAGAGAGAUCAGCAUGGCCCCUGUGCAAGCAUGAUACAAAGAAUUAAAAAACAACAGCAAGAGCU
rnacentral:snRNA from 1 species